rnacentral:rRNA from 62 species
ACCCGGAGAACUGAAACAUCUUAGUACCCGGAGGAAGAGAAAGAAAAUUCGAUUCCCUUAGUAGCGGCGAGCGAAACGGGAAGAGCCCAAACCAACAAGCUUGCUUGUUGGGGUUGUAGGACACUCUAUACGGAGUUACAAAGGACGACAUUAGACGAAUCAUCUGGAAAGAUGAAUCAAAGAAGGUAAUAAUCCUGUAGUCGAAAAUGUUGUCUCUCUUGAGUGGAUCCUGAGUACGACGGAGCACGUGAAAUUCCGUCGGAAUCUGGGAGGACCAUCUCCUAAGGCUAAAUACUCUCUAGUGACCGAUAGUGAACCAGUACCGUGAGGGAAAGGUGAAAAGCACCCCGGAAGGGGAGUGAAAUAGAACCUGAAACCGUGUGCUUACAAGUAGUCAGAGCCCGUUAAUGGGUGAUGGCGUGCCUUUUGUAGAAUGAACCGGCGAGUUACGAUUUGAUGCAAGGUUAAGCAGUAAAUGUGGAGCCGUAGCGAAAGCGAGUCUGAAUAGGGCGUUUAGUAUUUGGUCGUAGACCCGAAACCAGGUGAUCUACCCUUGGUCAGGUUGAAGUUCAGGUAACACUGAAUGGAGGACCGAACCGACUUACGUUGAAAAGUGAGCGGAUGAACUGAGGGUAGCGGAGAAAUUCCAAUCGAACCUGGAGAUAGCUGGUUCUCUCCGAAAUAGCUUUAGGGCUAGCCUCAAGUGAUGAUUAUUGGAGGUAGAGCACUGUUUGGACGAGGGGCCCCUCUCGGGUUACCGAAUUCAGACAAACUCCGAAUGCCAAUUAAUUUAACUUGGGAGUCAGAACAUGGGUGAUAAGGUCCGUGUUCGAAAGGGAAACAGCCCAGACCACCAGCUAAGGUCCCAAAAUAUAUGUUAAGUGGAAAAGGAUGUGGCGUUGCCCAGACAACUAGGAUGUUGGCUUAGAAGCAGCCAUCAUUUAAAGAGUGCGUAAUAGCUCACUAGUCGAGUGACACUGCGCCGAAAAUGUACCGGGGCUAAACAUAUUACCGAAGCUGUGGAUUGUCCUUUGGACAAUGGUAGGAGAGCGUUCUAAGGGCGUUGAAGCAUGAUCGUAAGGACAUGUGGAGCGCUUAGAAGUGAGAAUGCCGGUGUGAGUAGCGAAAGACGGGUGAGAAUCCCGUCCACCGAUUGACUAAGGUUUCCAGAGGAAGGCUCGUCCGCUCUGGGUUAGUCGGGUCCUAAGCUGAGGCCGACAGGCGUAGGCGAUGGAUAACAGGUUGAUAUUCCUGUACCACCUAUAAUCGUUUUAAUCGAUGGGGGGACGCAGUAGGAUAGGCGAAGCGUGCGAUUGGAUUGCACGUCUAAGCAGUAAGGCUGAGUAUUAGGCAAAUCCGGUACUCGUUAAGGCUGAGCUGUGAUGGGGAGAAGACAUUGUGUCUUCGAGUCGUUGAUUUCACACUGCCGAGAAAAGCCUCUAGAUAGAAAAUAGGUGCCCGUACCGCAAACCGACACAGGUAGUCAAGAUGAGAAUUCUAAGGUGAGCGAGCGAACUCUCGUUAAGGAACUCGGCAAAAUGACCCCGUAACUUCGGGAGAAGGGGUGCUCUUUAGGGUUAACGCCCAGAAGAGCCGCAGUGAAUAGGCCCAAGCGACUGUUUAUCAAAAACACAGGUCUCUGCUAAACCGUAAGGUGAUGUAUAGGGGCUGACGCCUGCCCGGUGCUGGAAGGUUAAGAGGAGUGGUUAGCUUCUGCGAAGCUACGAAUCGAAGCCCCAGUAAACGGCGGCCGUAACUAUAACGGUCCUAAGGUAGCGAAAUUCCUUGUCGGGUAAGUUCCGACCCGCACGAAAGGCGUAACGAUUUGGGCACUGUCUCAACGAGAGACUCGGUGAAAUCAUAGUACCUGUGAAGAUGCAGGUUACCCGCGACAGGACGGAAAGACCCCGUGGAGCUUUACUGUAGCCUGAUAUUGAAAUUCGGCACAGCUUGUACAGGAUAGGUAGGAGCCUUUGAAACGUGAGCGCUAGCUUACGUGGAGGCGCUGGUGGGAUACUACCCUAGCUGUGUUGGCUUUCUAACCCGCACCACUUAUCGUGGUGGGAGACAGUGUCAGGCGGGCAGUUUGACUGGGGCGGUCGCCUCCUAAAAGGUAACGGAGGCGCUCAAAGGUUCCCUCAGAAUGGUUGGAAAUCAUUCAUAGAGUGUAAAGGCAUAAGGGAGCUUGACUGCGAGACCUACAAGUCGAGCAGGGUCGAAAGACGGACUUAGUGAUCCGGUGGUUCCGCAUGGAAGGGCCAUCGCUCAACGGAUAAAAGCUACCCCGGGGAUAACAGGCUUAUCUCCCCCAAGAGUUCACAUCGACGGGGAGGUUUGGCACCUCGAUGUCGGCUCAUCGCAUCCUGGGGCUGUAGUCGGUCCCAAGGGUUGGGCUGUUCGCCCAUUAAAGCGGUACGCGAGCUGGGUUCAGAACGUCGUGAGACAGUUCGGUCCCUAUCCGUCGUGGGCGUAGGAAAUUUGAGAGGAGCUGUCCUUAGUACGAGAGGACCGGGAUGGACAUACCUCUGGUGUACCAGUUGUCGUGCCAACGGCAUAGCUGGGUAGCUAUGUGUGGACGGGAUAAGUGCUGAAAGCAUCUAAGCAUGAAGCCCCCCUCAAGAUGAGAUUUCCCAACUUCGGUUAUAAGAUCCCUCAAAGAUGAUGAGGUUAAUAGGUUCGAGGUGGAAGCAUGGUGACAUGUGGAGCUGACGAAUACUAAUCGAUCGAAGACUUAAUCAA